rnacentral:rRNA from 1 species
UACAGAGGGGGCAAGCGUUGUUCGGAAUUACUGGGCGUAAAGAGUGUGUAGGCGGUGCUCCCAGUCUGUUGUGAAAUCUCCCGGCUUAACUGGGAGGGUGCAGCGGAAACUAGAGUGCUAGAGGGUGGGAGAGGUAAGCGGAAUUCCUGGUGUAGCGGUGAAAUGCGUAGAUAUCAGGAGGAACACCUGUGGUGUAGACAGCUUACUGGACCACUUCUGACGCUGAGACACGAAAGCGUGGGUAGCAAACAGG